rnacentral:lncRNA from 1 species
AUGGAGCACCACACCCUGUGUUACUCAGGAUACAUCAGUAUACAUCAACAUCUGUUUUAUAACCUUUUUGAAUCAUCCUUUCUCACACAGGAUUCAGAUUCCAUAAUUCUGUUUUGGAUCAUAUUUUAUCAGCACUUUACAUCAAUUUACCUAAUGGUUUUUAUAGCACCCCCUUGCCAGAUGUCAUCUGGGAGUGUUCCUGGCUCUUCUAGAGACAGCAUGAUGAUCUAUCUCCUUGCUGGUGUUGCUGCUUUUGGUGGUUUAUUUUAUGCCUACAGACUAGUCAGUUCAUCCCACAGCAAGUUUGUUGAACAUUCAAAUAUUCUUCGUGAGAGAACUGAGGGGCAGAAAAGCAAUCCUUGGUCAAGGAACGAAGGUGAUGGAAAAGAGGUGCAUGAAGUCACUGAAGCAGAGGAGGCCAUGGAAGAAGCUGAUGCAGCAGCUGAUGUUGAACAUGCAGCACAGGAUGAGAGUGCUGGACCCAGAGCACAGGAUGAGACUUCUGGGGUAUCCCCAGAAGCUGGAGGGGAGAAUGACUUACUGGCUCCAGAGGUAUCCCUUGCUAUGGAGGAAGCACAGCAGGAAGCUGCUGCUAAUUCAGAAGCUGCUGCUAAUUUGGAACUUGCUGCUAAUUCAGAAGCUGCUGCAGUUCAAGUUUCUGAGGAGGAGAAGACAACUGAAGAAGUUGCUAAAGAGCCCUAAAGUAAGCAGUGUGGACACCUUUGGAAAGUUUAAUUCAAAUAUUUGUGGCAAUCAACCAGCUGGUUCCUGUGUGAAACCUCAUACUCUUCCUUGAAGAUAUAAAAGAAACUGUGCAGUUCGUCCUACCACCCAUUGGCCAUUAUGGCCAGUAUUCAGUGCUGCAAGAGGUGAUUUGCGUUGCCUAGAGAAAUGCUUCUGUGACUAACAACUCUGUUGUAGAGAGUAGCAUCCAGUCAAGCCACUCAGCAUGUCCUAAAUAUAUGUGCUAAGAGAAGCAGUAGAAGACUUAACUAAACCAUGCCAUAUGAACUCCUUCUAUGUCUUUGUUGUCCUGAUAUGUACAUUGAUUCCUUACUUUUGGUCCAAACUGUUGUGUGUACUUAUACCUUUGUAACAUUCCAUGCUAAAAUGUAAACAAAAGGUUUUAAAGUCAAGUCAAAAUAUUACAAAACUACCUGUUAGAGUUUUUAAAUUGGAUCACAGGGAAAAUAACAACAUGUUUGCUCCUGAGUUUGGGUUUGUGAUUGUAAGCCUAGGACAUCUGGCUGCAAAUGACCUAAUUUUCCCCCUGCAUAAACAUUUCAGAUGCUACCAUUCCUUGCACAGUAACAUCCAGGAGUAAACAUUUUAAGGCUCCUGCUUUGGCAAGAAAACCUGUUUGCAGGUAGUAGCCUGUAGCCAUAGGUACUUUAUAAGUGGUGACUGGCUCCUGCCUUGGGUAUGCUGGGCUCUGCUCCUCCCAAAUCUCAUUCAGCUUCCUGUGGUCUUUCUGUGUUGCUCUGUCUUGGCAGUGGCAUAUACUGGUAGUGUAACAACAUGAAAAUUUGGUAGAAACUUUCAAACUGGUACAAAUCACAAGCCCUUUAGGCCAUGGCAAAGCCUGUCUCUAACUACUUGCACACAGAGAGCAAAAUCCCUGUGAAGGGCUAUGCAACAGGUGUUCAAAUGGACAGGCAUUCUUAGGGACUAAGAAAUAACUAAAUAGCUAAAUAGCCUUGUUUUCUAAGUAUUAGCUUCAUAAAAAAUACAUUUAUUAUGAAUAACAGGUUUGGAUGCCACCGUGCUCCUAACCCUCAUGUGCUACAUGCAUGAGCGUGCAUCUGAGACCCCAUUUCAGCCAUCACAGAAUGGCAAUGAUUCAAAACCAGAGCCAAAUAAGGUAUAUUAUGUACUAUUUAUAUAGAAAGUGUGUUGCAUAAUGUGUGUCUGACUCUUUUCAAGAAGAAGUUUGGAAAAUGUUGAAAGGGAAAUGACAGCAUUAUGACAUUCCUACUCGCGGCACAAAGCAACACAUGCUCCUUCCCCCAUCAUAAAGCAAAUUAUAAUAGUGUUCCAACAAAGAUAUAGCCUGUUGCUCCUGUACCUACUUAGGAAUAACUGGAAUAAUGCAGAGGCAAAAGCAGGCUCCUGAGCUUCAAGAAGACAAACUACAGCCUUCUGCUUAAAGGAUAAAGCCUCUGUGAUUAAAAGCAAUUUUUGUAGACCAAGCUACUGGAAUAAAAAUCUUAGACUGAUAUUUUGUUGGAUAAGA